AUGUUCCCAACUGCACAGGUGUGUUCGGCACACUUCGUAGGCGGCACGAAGACGGACGAAAAUAGCGUCUCGCAGUUAGACCUGGGGUAUGCGAGAAAGAGUACGCAUACCGUGCAGUCCACCGACGACACAGAUUUGUGUGCCGUGUCGUGGCAGCCUGCGUCUGAGCAUGUGACCAUACAGUCCACUGACGACACUGACUUGGGUGCCACGUCGUGGCAGCCUGCGUCUGAGCAUGUGACGACGCAGCCCACUGACGACACUGACUUGGGUGCCACGUCGUGGCAGCCUGCGUCUGAGCAUGUGACCACGCAGCCCACUGAAGACACAGAUUUGGGUGCCAUGUCGUGGCAGCCUGCGUCUGAGCACAUGAGCACAAAUGUGGCACUCAUGGGGCACAAUUACUCUUUGGCACAACGACCUCCUUCUCCUAAGCACACAACUAUGUUUUCCAUGCUGGCUGCUGAUGACACGGAGUUAGGCGCCACGCCGUGGCUGCCCAUGUCCGAGCACGUGACCACACACUCCACGCAGUCCACAGAUGACACAGACUUGGGUGCCACAACGUGGCUGCCUGCGUCUGAGCAUGUGGUAAGUUCGUUGAGAAUGGUGUUGCUUUGA